GGGCUUGUAGCUCAACUGGUAGAGCUUGGGACUGAAAAUCCCUGCGAGGUGGUUCAUCCCCCACCCGGGCCCA
rnacentral:tRNA from 2 species